GGUUUUUGUUUAAGACCGAAAGGGUAAACCUCCCACCCUUGUGUAUUAUUACUUUGUUGCUUUGGCGAGCUGCCUCCCGGCCUUGUAUGCUCCCCAAAAAAAACCAAAACUCUUUUUAUUAAUGUCGUCGAAGUACUAUAUAAAAGUUAAAACUUUCAACAACGGAUCUCUGGGUUCUGGCUCCAUGAAAAAAGCACGAAAUGCCAUAAGUAAUGUAAAUGGCAAAAAUCACUAAAUCAUCGAAUCCUUGAACGCACAUUGCCCCUGGGUUCCAGGGCACAUGCCCGUUAGAGCGACUUUUAAACUCAAGCUUCCGUGGUAGUGAGUCUAUCACACUAAUGGCAGGCUAAAUCACAGGGCCGCCCCGCGGCCCUGAACGUAAAAUAACUUCGGUAAGCGUCUCGGUGUGCUUCUGCCCACCCAAAUUUUACAUGGUUGACCUCGGAUCAAGAGGGAUACCCGCCGAACUUAAGUAUCUAUAAAAGAAGAAAAAAUC
rnacentral:rRNA from 1 species